GCCGUGGCUGAGGCUGUGACUGCAGCAGUGCAGCUGGGAAAGAAGAGAAGGAAAGGAAGAAGAAGAGAAAGGAAAAGGGAAGAAGAGAGGAAGAGGAGAAGGGGAGGCAACUGCGGCAGUGGCAGCUGUAGCUAGAAGAGAAGGAGAGGAAACAGACCAGGGGAGGAAGAAGAGGCUGCGACUGUGGUGGCUGCGGCCGUGGCUGCGACUGCAGCUGCGGCUGCGACGUUGGCUGCGGUAGCUGCGGCAGC
rnacentral:lncRNA from 1 species